GACGAACGCUGGCGGCGUGCCUAAUACAUGCAAGUCGAGCGAAAGGACGCGACGCUUGCUUCUUUGUCGUUAGCGGCGCACGGGAGAGUAACAUGUGGAUCACCCCCCUAUCAGUCUGGUAAAUUCCGGGAACUCGGAGCUAAUACCGGUUAAUAUUUUGACUCCCAUGGUUCAAAUGUAAAAGUCGGUCUUGCUGUCAUUUACUCAUGGCUUCGCGCUGCAUUAGCUAGUUGGUAAGGUAACGGCUUAUCAAGGCAGCGAUGCGUAGCCGACCUGAGAGGGUGGUCGGCCACACUGGAGCUGGGACACGGUCCAGGCUCCUACGGGAGGCAGCAGUAGGGAAUGUUCCGCAGUAGGCGGAAACCUUGCAGAGCAGCGCCGCGUGUGUUAUGGAGAUCUUCGGAUCGUGAAGCUCUGUUAUGAGGGGUGAACAGAUGUGGAAGUUGCUGAACAGAGCUUGACGGUACCUGGUCAAGAAGCCACGGCUAACUACGUG
rnacentral:rRNA from 1 species